ensembl:lncRNA
GGUCAGUUUGGUUAGCUUAGUAUAAUAAUUUAAAGAAUGUGGUAAAUGACUAAACCAAAGAAUCCUGGAGUUCAGAGAGGGCCUUGACACUGAAAUUCAAGAGCCAAAGUACAUUCUAAAACCGAAGGCAAAAUAUCUCAGCCGAGCCAGCCCCUGCCCUCCCACCUGUAAUGAAUCCGCUGCACAGCUCCCGGGGCUUGGGGAAUCCUUUCAGAUUCUUCCCAGGUUCCGGGUGUUCGGUUACUCGGUACUACUCAGCAUGGAGAAAUCCCAAAGAGUCUCUCACAGCAAGGAGUCUUCACUCUGCCUAGUAGUUCAGUAAUCUGCUAGUGAAUCAACGGCAAAGGAAUAAAGAAGAUAGAACCGUCACUGUCUGGCCUUUCCGGUUGAAAUGUGCGACAUUUCAGGCUCCAGCAUCAGGGGGUGUAGUCCAGCCCCUGAAAGGAAGAAAGCUGAUGGAGGGCCGAGUUCUGCCAGCAUCCCUGGGGCCUGGUGAGAAGCUGGUCUGAAGAAAUGUUUCUGUGGACAGACUGAGCAUCUCUCCAUCCGUCCUGGGGAGAACCUUCCUGACCGCGCCUCAGGGCACCCCCUUUCCCACUGGACUUCCCCUGCCAUGCACCCCUCUUCCAGCGUCUCCAUCAGCCGUCAGGAGACCGAGACCCCGCCCCGGGGUCACCAGGGCUGUCUUGCCGCCUCCCCAUUUCACAGCGGGUCCUAGAAGGCUUCGUUGGAGGAAAGGGGAGUCUGAAGCCACUCGAACUUUCUGGGGACGUGGGAACCCGUGUCUCAGCCCCGUGGACUGUGGUCCGGGAACCCGCGCCCCGUGGACCUCAGUCUGGGGACCUGCAUCCUAGGCCCGGGGACCGCGGUCUUGGCCCUGCUGACCUCUGGCCUUUUGUCCAGCACAUCAGGGACGGUCGCUCGUCUGAUGGCUGUGAGGCCAACAUUGAUUAUUUUAUCAUUAACCCUCUCAAGGGCUUAGACAUUAUGCUUCCACUGUGAUUCCUGUCAGUCUUUUGGAUCAAGUCCCACGUGAUUCUGGGUUUCUCUGGAUGUUUUCUCGGUCUCACUGGGGAUCUUGUGUGACUAGGUCAGAGUAUGUUGUUAGCAAAAAUCUUAGGCUCUGAAAACAUGUUUAAAUGUAUGUGCAGAGCCUAACUCUGGUCUUAAUUUCUCUUUAAAAAAAUCUUUUCUUCAGUCUGAGCAUCUACCUUUCCAACUGCUGUUUACAACUAAAAACAAAACCCGAUCGAUCCAGUUUCCAAGUCCAUAGGUUUACCUGAUAAAGAAAGUCUACAGGCCUUGACGUGUCCAUGUGAUCAAAGUUUCCAACUUCACAGUCCGUCCCUCAGCCCAGAGCAGAGCCCAGGAGCCCUGAGGUCAGGAUCAGGGGCUGAGAUGACUUCCCAUUUCCCCAGGAAAGAAACCCUGCGUGAUAAGAUUUGUGGGAAACACUGAAAUUACGGAACUCACCG